rnacentral:rRNA from 1 species
AUUGAACGCUGGCGGCAUGCCUUACACAUGCAAGUCGAACGGCAGCACGGGAGCUUGCUCCUGGUGGCGAGUGGCGAACGGGUGAGUAAUACAUCGGAACGUACCCUGAAGUGGGGGAUAACGUAGCGAAAGUUACGCUAAUACCGCAUAUUCUGUGAGCAGGAAAGAGGGGGAUCGCAAGACCUCUUGCUUUAGGAGCGGCCGAUGUCGGAUUAGCUAGUUGGUGAGGUAAAGGCUCACCAAGGCGACGAUCCGUAGCGGGUCUGAGAGGAUGAUCCGCCACACUGGGACUGAGACACGGCCCAGACUCCUACGGAGGCAGCAGUGGGGAAUUUUGGACAAUGGGCGCAAGCCUGAUCCAGCCCAUGCCGCGUGAGUGAAGAAGGCCUC